rnacentral:lncRNA from 1 species
CCUGCGAGCUCCGCCUCGGAGAACUGCAAGUAAUCAACUAUCUUCUCAAUGGCAUCGUCUCCGGGUCCGCUGGCCUUACUGAACCGCACAUGUUCCCUUGUCACUUUCUGUGUGAAACCUGCCCUCCCAGACCCUUUGCAGACGCUUAGCCUGAACAGAGGAAGAGCAAAGGAUGUGUGCGCCCUGUCACAGCAUCUUCGACAAGAGCCCACUGUGCACCUGAAGUCAGAAGCAUCUUCUCCAGCGGAGGCCGAGCACGUCGCUCCCUGCUCCUGCUCCCCUGCUCCUUAGAAACUGACCCAGGGCCCUUGCUGUGGAACUGAGCUUAGCCUAACGAGGCAGCUCAGAGGCAGGCGCCGGCCAGCCAGCCAGCACCCAAGCUCACAGAAGAGACGGAGAAAGCCUCAUCAGCAGAGCGUUCCGUCAUCGCAGCUGACUGCUCUCCAGGCCUGAGCUGGGGGAUAUCGAAGUUCGGAGACGCACCCAGCGGAAGUGGUCCCAGAAACAAGGGGUGCUGGUCCACGUCCCCCCAAGCCUCGCGCCUGCCUCUGUCUUGUACGUGCCCACCACCGCAGCCUCCUUCUGUCUGGGACGCC